rnacentral:rRNA from 1 species
ACAUGCCUACAACAUAGCGUUAAUGCACCAGAUCCCAUUAGAACUCCGCAGUUAAGCACACUCAUGCUAGAGUAGUACUAGGAUGGGUGUCUGCCCGGGAAGUCCUAGUGUUUUACAUGCC